UACGGAGGAUCCGAGCGUUAUCCGGAUUUAUUGGGUUUAAAGGGAGCGUAGGCGGGUUGUUAAGUCAGUUGUGAAAGUUUGCGGCUCAACCGUAAAAUUGCAGUUGAUACUGGCAUCCUUGAGUACAGUAGAGGUAGGCGGAAUUCGUGGUGUAGCGGUGAAAUGCUUAGAUAUCACGAAGAACUCCGAUUGCGAAGGCAGCAUACCGGCGCCCUACUGACGCUGAGGCACGAAAGCGUGGGUAUCGAACAGG
rnacentral:rRNA from 1 species